rnacentral:lncRNA from 1 species
GUAACCCGCACGAGGGAUACAGGUGGUGGCUUCCCAGCGCUUGAUGCCAAGUGUGUGGUCCUCCUCUCUGACACACGAAACCAUGGUGCUGAUUUGAAGCUUUAGAAAUCAGGGACCAAACUGCUUGAUCAAAUACCCUGUUCAAUUUUUCCAGCUUGAAAGAAACAUUCUGGUCCUUUCUAAUAGGUUUUGAAGUGACAUCAGUUACCAUAGAGGAAGAAGACAUCUCCCUCCCUUUGAAGUGGGGCUCCUUAUUGCCUUCCCCAGCCCUUCUGUCCUAAGAGGUUACACGUCCGUCACUCACAAACCAAGCUUGAUAUAAAAAGGAGCCCAUGCAAUUUAGCACCCUGAACUUGUCUUCUGGAAGACCUAAGUGGGCUCCCAUGACCUUGGGUUGGUAUUCUAAAUUUAUAAACAUCCUUGAAAACUUAGGAGGGCUCUGGUGUUGCCCACUUUUUCCACUUAAUGCUUUAAGUUGGGCACCAUUUUUUUUGUGUGGGCUGGGAGGGAACAUGGCUCCACAAUUCCCUGCUUGGUUUGCAAAGUCUCUGUAGCCAGUCUCCCGCCAUUCGUCCUGUUCCUUUAUCUCCAUCCUGAUUUUUGUGAUGAUGACUUCUUCAAUGCCAAAUAUUUACCUGAAGGGAGUCUUUCCUCACUGUGACUGGGAAAGUCAAAUAUGAAGAUGAGAAAAGGAGCUGCCAGCCAGUAAGCCAAGGGGUGAGCCUAUGGGAAAGAGUGCCAAUCACAGAUUCUUAAUUCCUACCCCUGGGGAGAGAUGCUGUCGAGAGAGGUGAUAACCUGUUGCUAAAUACCACAUAAUCAGUCACAUUUCCACCAUAACCAUGCUCAAGGGUGGGUAGACCUGAGGACCACACUCUUGAGUGCUAUUACUAGUAUGUAGGAAUAGCCUUUUGGAAAGGCUAAGAGUUGUGUUAGGAAGGUUCACCUUCAGGGGACACGGAACCUGACCCACAUUCAGAAUCCAGAUGGUGUUGUCGUAUACCUAAGAAUCAUGGGAAGUCAUCUCUCCCCAAACCUGUUCCGUUUGUUUCGUUAAACCAUAGAUCACACAUGAAAAACCGCUCCCUCUCCUGAGAGAAUACAGAAAGAGAACAUUGGAGCAUGAGCAGCAUCACCAUGAAGAACAGGAGGGUGGGUGGGUGGGUGGGUGGGUGAGGAACAACUGGAAUCAGUCAGUUGUCCUGUGGACCUUCCUUCCCCCCUUGUGAUCGUUUCCUGGAGGAAGUGUAAAAAAAGUAUUGUCUGUUUGCCUUAAGGGAGCUUCGAAAGCUUCUUGGAAGGUUGAGUUUUACUAGAAUGAACCAAACAUCGUCUAAUGUGUCUGUGGCUUCAGAGCUUUCGUUAUAUUGUUAUAUUGUGCCUAUAAAGCAAAUUAUGUUUACAUAAAAAUAUAAAUAAAGUAUUCAGCAUAGC